rnacentral:rRNA from 1 species
UACGUAGGGACCGAGCGUUGUCCGGAAUCAUUGGGCGUAAAGAGCGUGUAGGCGGCCACUUAAGUCCUGCGUGAAAUCUUGCGGCUCAACCGCAAGCGGUCGUGGGAAACUGGGUGGCUAGAGUCCGGAAGAGGAGAGUGGAAUUCCUGGUGUAGCGGUGAAAUGCGCAGAUAUCAGGAAGAACACCAAUGGCGAAAGCAGCUCUCUGGGACGGUACUGACGCUGAGACGCGAAAGCGUGGGGAGCGAACAGG